rnacentral:rRNA from 1 species
GAUGAACGCUGGCGGCGUGCCUAAUACAUGCAAGUCGAGCGAACAGAUAAGGAGCUUGCUCCUUUGACGUUAGCGGCGGACGGGUGAGUAACACGUGGGUAACCUACCUAUAAGACUGGAAUAACUCCGGGAAACCGGGGCUAAUGCCGGAUAACAUUUAGAACCGCAUGGUUCUAAAGUGAAAGAUGGUUUUGCUAUCACUUAUAGAUGGACCCGCGCCGUAUUAGCUAGUUGGUAAGGUAACGGCUUACCAAGGCAACGAUACGUAGCCGACCUGAGAGGGUGAUCGGCCACACUGGAACUGAGACACGGUCCAGACUCCUACGGGAGGCAGCAGUAGGGAAUCUUCCGCAAUGGGCGAAAGCCUGACGGAGCAACGCCGCGUGAGUGAUGAAGGUCUUCGGAUCGUAAAACUCUGUUAUUAGGGAAGAACAAAUGUGUAAGUAUCUGUGCACGUCUUGACGGUACCUAAUCAGAAAGCCACGGCUAACUACGUG